GACGAACGCUGGCGGCGUGCUUAACACAUGCAAGUCGAACGGUAAGGCCCUUCGGGGUACACGAGUGGCGAACGGGUGAGUAACACGUGGUGAUCUGCCCUGCACUUCGGGAUAAGCCUGGAAACUGGGUCUAAUACCGGAUAGGACCAUGGACUUCACGGUUUGUGGUGGAAAGCUUUGCGGUGUGGGAUGGGCCCGCGGCCUAUCAGCUUGUUGUGGGGUAAUGGCCUACCAAGGCGACGACGGGUAGCCGGCCUGAGAGGGUGUCCGGCCACACUGGGACUGAGAUACGGCCCAGACUCCUACGGGAGGCAGCAGUGGGAAUAUUGCACAAUGGGCGCGAAGCCUGAUGCAGCGACGCCGCGUGAGGGAUGACGGCCUCGG
rnacentral:rRNA from 1 species